ensembl:lncRNA
CAGUGAAGCUCAGCCAGUGCAAGCACCUGGAAGGAAGCUUCCGUGCUGCCAUCCCAAGCUCCUAGGGCCAAGAAGCUCAGCUGGUCCCAGCACCAAGAAUGAAGCUCCCCGCCUCCAUCCCAGGCUCCUAGGGCAGUGAAGCUCAGCUGGUCCCAGCAUCGGGAAGGAAGCUCCCCACCUCCAUCCUAGGCUCCUAGGGCAUGAAGCUCAGCUGGUCCCAGCAUGAGAAAGGAAGCUCCCUGCCUCCAUCCCAGACUCCUAGGGCAGUGAAGCUCAGCCGGUUCCCGCACCCACAAGGAAGCUGCCUAGCCUCCUUCCCAGGCUCCUAGGGCAGUGAAGCUCACCCAGUCCCAGCACCAGGAAGGAAGCUCCCCUACUCCCAUCCCAGGCUCCUAGAACAGUGAAGCUCAACUGGUCCCAGGACCCGUAAGGAAGCUACCCCACUGCCUUCCCAGGCUCCUAGGGCCAAGAAGGUAAGCCGGUCCCAGCACCUUGAGGGAAGCUUGCAGGCUCAAUCCCAAGCUGCCAGGGCAGUGAAGCUCAGCUGGCCCCAGAACCUGGAAGGAAGCACCCCGCCUCCAUCUCUGGCUCCUAGGGCAGUGAAGCUCAGCCUGUGCAAGCACCCGGAAGGAAGCUUCCCCGCUGCCAUCCCAAGCUCCUAGGGCCAAGAAGGUGAGCCAGUCCCAGCACCUGGAGGGAAGCUCCCCAGCCUCCAUCUCAGGCUCCUAGGGCAGUGAAGCCCAGCUGGUCCCAGCACCAGGAAGGAAGCUCCCCACCUCCAUCCAAGGCUCCUAGGGCAGUGAAGCCCUACUUGUCCAAGGACCAGGAAGGAUGCUCCCCCAAUACAUCCCAGACUCCUAGGGCCAAGAAGGUGAGCAGGUCCCAGCAACCAGAGUGAAGCUCCUAGCCUCCACCCCAGGCUCCUAGGGCAGUGAAGCUCAGCCAGUCCCAGCACCCGGAAGGAAGCUCCCACCUGCCAUUGCAGGCUCCUGGUGCCAAGAAUGUGAACCAGUCCCAGCACCAGGAAGGAAGCUCCCCCGCUGCCAUCCCAGGCUCCUAGGACCAAGAUUUUUAGCUGGUCCCAGCACCAGGAAGGAAGCUCCCCGCCUCCAUCCCAGGCUCCUGGGGCAGUGACACUCAGCCAGUCCCAGCACCCAGAAUGAAGCUCCCCAACUCCAUCCCAGGCUCCUAGGGCAGUGAAACUCAGCCGGUCCCAGAACCUGGAAGGAAGCUCCCCUGCUGCCGUCUCAAGCUCCUAGAGCCAAGAAGGUGAGCCAGUCCUAGCCCCUGGAGGGAAGCUCAAAGCCUCCAUCCCAGGCUCCUAGGGCAGUGAAGCUCAGCUGGUCACAGCACCCAGAGGGCAGCUCCCCGACUCCAUCCCAGGCUCCCAGGGCCAAGAAGGUGAGCAGGUCCCAGCACCCAGAGGAAUGCCACCAGCCUCCAUCCCAGGCUCCUAGGGCAAUGAAGCUCAGUCAGUCCCAGCACCCCAAAGAAAGCACCCCCGCUGCCAUCCCAAGCUCCUAGGGCCAAGAAGGUGACCUGGUCCUAGCACCUGGAGGGAAGCUCCCCAGCAUCCAUCCCAGGCUCCUAGGGCAGUGAGGCUCAGCUGGACCUACCACCUGGAAGGAAGCUCCCUGGCUGCCAUCCCAGGCUCCUAGGGCCAAGAACGUGAACCGGUCCCAGUACCCAGAUGGAAGCUCCCAGCCUCCAUCCCAGGCUCCUAGGGCAGUGAAGCUCAGCUGGUCCCAGCACCCAGAAGGAAGCACCCCCGCUGCCAUCCCAAGCUCCUGGUGCCAAGAAGGAUCCCAGGACAGUGAAGCCCAGCUGGUCCCAGCAUGAGAAAGGAAGCUCCCCGCCUCCACCCCAGGCUCCUAGGGCAGUGAAACUCAGCUGGCCCCAGCACCCGGAAGGAAGAUCCCUGCCUCCAUCCCAGGCUCCUAGGGCCAAGAAGGUGAGCCAGUCCCAGUAGCCGGAAGGAAGCUCCCCAACUCCAUCCCAGGCUCCUGGUGCCAAGAAUGUGAGCAGGUCCCAGCACCAGGAAGGAAUUUCCCCGCUGCCAUCCCAGGGUCCUAGGACCAAGAAUGUGAGCUGAUCCCAGCAUGCAGAAGAAAGUUCCCUGCCUCCCCAGGCUCCUAGGGCAGUGAAGCUCAGCCUAUCUCUCACCAAGAAGGAAGCUCCCUGGCUGCCAUUCCAAGCUCCUAGGACCAAGAAGGCUCCUAGGGCACUGAAGCUCAGCUGGUCCCAGCACCCAGAAGGAAGCUCCACAACUUCAUCCCAGGCUCCUUGGGCCAAAAAGGCUCCUAGGGCAGUGAAACUCAGCUGGCCCCAGCACCCGGAAGGAAGAUCCCCGCCUCCAUCCCAGGCUCCUAGAACAGUGACGCUCAACAGGUCCUAGCACCCAGAAGGAAGCUACCCCACUGCCAACCCAGGCUCCUGGUGCCAAGAAGGUGAGCCGGUCCCAGCCCCAGAAGGGAAGCUCCUGUGAUGCCAUCCCAAGCUCCUAGGUCCAAGAAAGUAAGCAGGUCCUAGCACCGGGAGGGAAGCUCCCCAGCCUCCAUUCCAGGGUCCUAGGGCAGUGAAGCCCAGCUUGUCCAAGGAACAGGAAGGAAUCUCCCCCACUACAUCCCAGGCUCCUAGGGCCAAGAAGGUGAGCAGGUCCCAGCAAGCGAGUGAAGCUCCUAGCCUCCACCCCAGGCUCCUAGGGCAGUGAAGCCCAGCUUCUCCACUGGUCCCAGCAUCGGCAAGGAAGCUCGCCGCCUCCAUCCCAGGCUCC